rnacentral:rRNA from 1 species
UACGGAGGGUGCAAGCGUUGUCCGGAAUUAUUGGGCGUAAAGAGCUCGUAGGCGGUCUGUCACGUCGGCUGUGAAAACCCGAGGCUCAACCUCGGGCCUGCAGUCGAUACGGGCAAACUAGAGUACUGCAGGGGAGACUGGAAUUCCUGGUGUAGCGGUGGAAUGCGCAGAUAUCAGGAGGAACACCGAUGGCGAAGGCAGGUCACUGGGCAACAACUGACGCUGAGGAGCGAAAGCGUGGGGAGCGAACAGG